AACGAACGCUGGCGGCAGGCCUAACACAUGCAAGUCGAGCGGACCCUUCGGGGUUAGCGGCGGACGGGUGAGUAACGCGUGGGAAUAUGCCCUUCUCUACGGAAUAGUCCUGGGAAACUGGGGGUAAUACCGUAUACGCCCUUUGGGGAAAGAUUUAUCGGGGAAGGAUUAGCCCGCGUUGGAUUAGGUAGUUGGUGGGGUAAUGGCCUACCAAGCCGACGAUCCAUAGCUGGUUUGAGAGGAUGAUCAGCCACACUGGGACUGAGACACGGCCCAGACUCCUACGGGAGGCAGCAGUGGGGAAUCUUAGACAAUGGGGGCAACCCUGAUCUAGCCAUGCCGCGUGAGUGAUGAAGGCCUUAGGGUUGUAAAGCUCUUUCAGCUGGGAAGAUAAUGACGGUACCAGCAGAAGAAGCCCCGGCUAACUCCGUG
rnacentral:rRNA from 1 species